AUUGGCCCGACAAAGUAGCUUCGGCGAAAUCAGUGCCUUAAAUAAGGGGAACAGGACCAUUGCCGGAAACGGCAUAAAUGGAACCGUCGCUAUGACCGACAGGACGCUGCUUGCAUGGAUGGGUAGGUGCGUAACCAUUUUCAUUGUCGUUGUCAUACGCAGCCUGAAUCGCACCCUACAAUACGGCUGUACGGCGGUUAUUUCUAAAAGGAGACAUGA
ncrna:unclassified sequences RT-2 RNA